GAUGAACGCUGGCGGCGUGCCUAAUACAUGCAAGUCGAGCGAACGGACGAGAAGCUUGCUUCUCUGAUGUUAGCGGCGGACGGGUGAGUAACACGUGGAUAACCUACCUAUAAGACUGGGAUAACUUCGGGAAACCGGAGCUAAUACCGGAUAAUAUUUUGAACCGCAUGGUUCAAAAGUGAAAGACGGUCUUGCUGUCACUUAUAGAUGGAUCCGCGCUGCAUUAGCUAGUUGGUAAGGUAACGGCUUACCAAGGCAACGAUGCAUAGCCGACCUGAGAGGGUGAUCGGCCACACUGGAACUGAGACACGGUCCAGACUCCUACGGGAGGCAGCAGUAGGGAAUCUUCCGCAAUGGGCGAAAGCCUGACGGAGCAACGCCGCGUGAGUGAUGAAGGUCUUCGGAUCGUAAAACUCUGUUAUUAGGGAAGAACAUAUGUGUAAGUAACUGUGCACAUCUUGACGUUACCUACUCAGAAAGCCCCGGCUAACUACGUG
rnacentral:rRNA from 1 species